GUAGCUUUGUACUCUUAUAGGGGAAGGGCUGGACGGUGGCUCGGGAGGAGGAGGCCUAAGUGAUACAUUGAACAAAGCAAGAGAGAAGCGGAAUAAGGAAAAGGAUCUUGGCGGAGGCGAUAUGGAUGGACUGUGUGAUUUAGGUGGUCUAGGCGCGACGGGCGGCGACACAAAAUCAGGCGAAGAAACAAAGGAAGGAGAAGGCAAGGAAAAGUCGCCGAAGGACAACAAAGACGAAAAUAAGGAAAAUGAGGAAAAGGAGGAUAAAGAAGGGAAGGACAAGAACGACCAUAAAAAAGAGGACAAGAACGAGGAUAAAGAAGAGAAGGACAAGAAGAAGGGCAAAGAGGAGGAGAAAAAGAAUGAAAAAGAUAAAGGUUCCGACAACAAAGCACAUGACAAGGAGAAUAAAGAAUAUGACAGAAGCCGCCGAACAGCUUGAAGAGCUUAGUCAAGUGCAAAAAGAGAGAUUUUCAGGUUUUUAUGCACCGUCGGGUGAUCUUCAUCGCCUGCUUCCGUAUAGCACCAAGACAAGAUCAAUCGAAACUGUUAUUGUUACAAACAUUACAGUGUUUAGAAUGGACACACCAGCAAUAAAUGAGGCGAACUGACGAUCACUGUGCAUACAUUGUGCAGACGAACA
rnacentral:lncRNA from 1 species